GAUCCAGUGGCAUAGUGGUUAGUGCGCCUGCUGAAGUUGACCAAUGUCAAAAGCCUGUGUAAGCGGGAGACCCUCGUUCGAAUCGGGGUUGGGUCA